rnacentral:rRNA from 1 species
UACGGAGGUGGCAAGCGUUGCUCGGAAUCACUGGGCGUAAAGGGCGCGUAGGCGGGGAGGUAAGUCGGGUGUGAAAUCCCUCGGCCCAACCGAGGAACUGCGCCCGAGACUGCUUCUCUUGAGUCCCGGAGAGGAAGAUGGAAUUCCCGGUGUAGCGGUGAAAUGCGUAGAUAUCUGGAGGAACACCGGUGGCGAAGGCGGCAUCCUGGACCAACACUGACACUGAGGAGCGAAAGCCAGGGGAGCAAACGGG